rnacentral:rRNA from 1 species
GACAGAGGGGGCAAGCGUUGCUCGGAAUCACUGGGCGUAAAGGGCGCGUAGGCGGGAUGGCAAGUCGGUCGUGAAAUCCUUCGGCUCAACCGAAGAACGUCGGCCGAUACUGCCGUUCUUGAGGGAUGCAUAGGAGAUUGGAAUUCCCGGUGUAGCGGUGAAAUGUGUAGAGAUCGGGAGGAACACCGGUGGCGAAGGCGGGUCUCUGGGCAUCUCCUGACGCUGAGGCGCGAAAGCGUGGGGAGCAAACGGG